GUCCAUUUCGAGGACAUCAGAUUGGAAUGAUACGUAGAAAAUUAGUACGUCCAUGCGCGAGGAUGACAUGCAAAAAUCAAGAAUGGUCCAAAAAAAAU
rfam:Eutrema salsugineum unplaced genomic scaffold scaffold_7, whole genome shotgun sequence.